rnacentral:rRNA from 1 species
UACGGGGGGAGCAAGCGGUUGUUCGGAUUUACUGGGCGUAAAGGGCGCGUAGGCGGUCGUUCAAGUCGAGUGUGAAAGCCCCCGGCUCAACUGGGGAGGGUCAUUCGAUACUGAUCGACUCGAAGGCAGGAGAGGGUAGUGGAAUUCCCGGUGUAGUGGUGAAAUGCGUAGAUAUCGGGAGGAACACCAGUGGCGAAGGCGACUCUCUGGACGGUACUGGACGCUGGAGACGCGAAAAGCGUGGGGGAGCGAACGAGG